GACGAACGCUGGCGGCGUGCUUAACACAUGCAAGUCGAACGGAAAGGCCUCUUUCGGGGGGUACUCGAGUGGCGAACGGGUGAGUAACACGUGAGUAACCUGCCCUUGACUUUGGGAUAACUUCAGGAAACUGGGGCUAAUACCGGAUAGGAGCUCCUGCUGCAUGGUGGGGGUUGGAAAGUUUCGGCGGUUGGGGAUGGACUCGCGGCUUAUCAGCUUGUUGGUGGGGUAGUGGCUUACCAAGGCUUUGACGGGUAGCCGGCCUGAGAGGGUGACCGGCCACAUUGGGACUGAGAUACGGCCCAGACUCCUACGGGAGGCAGCAGUGGGGAAUAUUGCACAAUGGGUGGAAGCCUGAUGCAGCAACGCCGGGUGCGGGAUGACGGCCUUCGGGUUGUAAAACGCUUUCGCUCAUGACGAAGCUUUGUGUGACGGUAGUGGGUAAAGAAGCACCGGCUAACUACGUG
rnacentral:rRNA from 1 species